rnacentral:snoRNA from 1 species
AGAUUCAAACCCUAGAACCAGUGGGGUAGUGAAACCAAGAGCUCAUAACCAAAGAUUGAAGGUCCCCGAAGGAUGCUACAGUCACUCAAUAAGGCUGUUUUCCUGAGGAGGUAGAAAC